rnacentral:lncRNA from 1 species
CUUAACUUAUUCAUUCACUUUUGAAAGGAUUUGCAAGGCCAGGGAGCAUCUGUUUAUAGACAGACAUCAAAGACCUAGGGUUGUUUCAGAAGUAGAUUACGUUUCCUCAAGUUCAAUUCCAAAUCUUUUUUUUUGUUGUUAGUUUUUUCAUAGAAAAAUGCCAGGUUCCUCUGUUGUUAUGGUAGAAUCCCAGAUUAGCCCAUAGAAGCUUAUCUGUUGCCCUGUUUCACCUCUUAAUUGACAAAGCAGUAUUUAUAAAUAAGAUGGUAAGAUCUUUGAGACAGUGGUUCUGUUAUAAUUAAUCUUGUAUCCUAUUCUGCUUGAGCAUAGUACUUAAUAAAAAUUUUUUUCAGUGAGUAACUAAUAACUAAGGAAGAUCCAGAAUUCAUUUAGGAAACCAAGAGUAGGUAUAGAGUUCCUUCCUUCUUGGAUCCAUGGCUGUCCAAUAACUGAAAUUUGGAUUUUAACAUCGUUCAAUUACUUAAUUACUUCUCUUAGUAAUAGUGAGCUCAUAGGUAUUAAGGGAAAGCCAUUUAAACCAAGACAUUGAUUGUUGAUUGCCUGAUAAGUACCUAAAGAUAGAUUUAUAUUUAUCAAAUCGAGUACCUUA